CAGCCGUAAACUAUGCGCGUUAGGUGUAUCGGUGACCACGAGUUACCGAGGUGCCGAAGGGAAACCGUGGAAACGUGCCGCCUGGGAAGUACGGUCGCAAGGCUGAAACUUAAAGGAAUUGGCGGGGGGAGCGACCACAACGGGUGGAGCCUGCGGUUUAAUUGGGACUCAACGGCCGGGAAGCUCACCGGGAUAAGACAGCGGAAUGAUUGCCGGGCGUGAAGACUCUGCAUGGACUAGGCUGAGAGGUGGUGCAUGGCGUGUGACUG
rnacentral:rRNA from 1 species